rnacentral:rRNA from 1 species
UACGGGGGGAGCAGGCGUUGUUCGGAUUUACUGGGCGUAAAGGGCGCGUAGGCGGCCACCGCAAGUCAGUUGUGAAAUCUCUGGGCUUAACCCAGAAAGGUCAACUGAUACUGCGGGGCUAGAGUGCAGUAGGGGCAACUGGAAUUCUCGGUGUAGCGGUGAAAUGCGUAGAUAUCGAGAGGAACACCUGCGGCGAAGGCGGGUUGCUGGGCUGACACUGACGCUGAAGCGCGAAAGCUAGGGGAGCGAACGGG